rnacentral:rRNA from 1 species
CGGGCCCCGCCGCGGCAUGUCGGCCAUCCGCAGCUCGCUCAUCGACCCGGACGGCGGCGCGCUGGUCGACCUCGUGGCCCCGCCGGAGCGCCGCGCGGCGCUGCGGGCCGAGGCGGAGGCGCUCCCUCGGGUGCGGCUCGCGGCCGUCGACGUGGAGUGGGCGCACGUGCUCGCCGAGGGCUGGGCGUCGCCGCUGCGCGGGUUCAUGCGCGAGCAAGAGUACCUCCAGUGCCUCCACUUCAACUCGCUCCGCCUCCCCUCGGGCGGCCUCGCCAACAUGUCGCUCCCCAUCGUGCUCGCCCUCGACGACGCCGCCAAGGACCGCGUCGGGGCCGCCCCCGACGUCGCGCUCGCCGGGCCCGACGGCCAGCUCCUCGCCGUCCUCCGCAGUAUUGAAAUAUACCCUCACAAUAAAGAAGAAAGGAUUGCAAGAACAUGGGGGACAACCGCGCCUGGCUUACCUUAUGUCGACGAGGCGAUAACACCAGCUGGGAACUGGCUGAUUGGCGGUGACCUGGAGGUGUUGCAACCCAUCAAAUAUAACGAUGGCCUCGACCAUUACAGGCUUUCACCCCAGCAACUUAGGGACGAAUUCGACAAGCGUGGGGCUGAUGCUGUAUUUGCAUUCCAGUUGAGAAAUCCAGUCCACAAUGGGCAUGCACUGUUGAUGAAUGACACUAGAAGGCGUCUCCUGGAAAUGGGUUUCAAGAAUCCCAUUCUACUGCUACACCCCUUGGGUGGUUUUACAAAAGCUGAUGAUGUCCCACUGCCUGUUAGAAUGGAGCAACACAGCAAGGUCUUAGAAGAUGGAGUCCUUGACCCUGAGACCACUAUUGUGUCUAUAUUCCCCUCUCCAAUGCAUUAUGCUGGUCCAACAGAAGUGCAGUGGCAUGCGAAGGCACGAAUUAAUGCCGGUGCUAAUUUCUAUAUAGUGGGUCGUGAUCCAGCUGGGAUGGGCCAUCCAACAGAGAAGAGAGAUCUGUACAACCCAGACCAUGGGAAGAAGGUCCUAAGCAUGGCUCCCGGUUUGGAGAAACUCAACAUAUUGCCCUUCAAGGUAGCAGCAUAUGAUACGGUGGCGAAGAAGAUGGCUUUCUUUGAACCUUCACGCAGUCAAGAUUUUCUGUUCAUCUCAGGAACCAAGAUGCGCACUUUCGCCAAAACUGGAGAGAACCCUCCUGAUGGUUUCAUGUGCCCUGGUGGGUGGAAGGUUCUUGUUGACUACUACAAUAGCUUGCAAACCGAAGGAGCUACCGCCCCCGCCACCGCUACUGUAUGAGACAAGCUGCUGCAUGGCUUUGAGAUCAUUGAUUGGCCGAUUGAGCUGUAACCGCGCCGCAAAUUCUGUUAUUAUCGUGUGAUGACUCUGACAGUCCAACUAGCCAAUAAAGAAGUUCAUUGCAACUGUGGGAGCUCAUCCAAGAUCAGACUGCAAUUAAUCUCCAUAUUGUGACACAACGGAGUGGCAGAGUUGGCAUUGCGGUGGAUUAUUAGAUGAUGACAGUCCAACUUAUCAGUUUAGUUUUUGUACUAUAUUCAACAAAGCCUCACGAUUCAGGAUUUAAACAAAGAAAAUACUUAUAAUUAUCAAAGAAUCUGCAAAUAAGCUGAGUCUUUAGUAAGUGAUGGCAUCAGGCCAUUAUCAGAAAGUGUGUUGGAGUGUAACCAAGGACGAUGUUGGGUCGGCAUCCACGCCUUGUCACACUUUUCUAUCAAAGUGCGGAAAAGUGUCUGGUUGUAUCCACGGUCAUAGCAUGCCACACUUUCUUUAGUCACA